rnacentral:rRNA from 1 species
UGCCAGCCGCCGCGGUAAUACAGAGGGUGCAAGCGUUAAUCGGAAUGACUGGGCGUAAAGGGCGUGUAGGUGGUGAUGUAAGUCAAAGGUGAAAUCCCCGGGCUCAACCUGGGAACUGCCUCUGAAACUGCAUGACUAGAGUAUAGGAGAGGGAAGUGGAAUUUCCGGUGUAGCGGUGAAAUGCGUAGAUAUCGGAAGGAACACCAGUGGCGAAGGCGACUUCCUGGCCUAAUACUGACACUGAGGCGCGAAAGCGUGGGUAGCGAACAGGAUUAGAUA